rnacentral:rRNA from 1 species
AUGAACGCUAGCGGCAGGCUUAACACAUGCAAGUCGAGGGGUAUAGGUUUUCGGACCUAGAGACCGGCGCACGGGUGCGUAACGCGUAUGCAAUCUACCUUUUGCAGAGGGAUAGCCCAGAGAAAUUUGGAUUAAUACCUCAUAGUAUAUGGACUUCGCAUGGAGACCAUAUUAAAGUUCCAACGGCAAAAGAUGAGCAUGCGUCCCAUUAGCUAGAUGGUAAGGUAACGGCUUACCAUGGCUACGAUGGGUAGGGGGUCCUGAGAGGGAGAUCCCCCCACACUGGUACUGAGACACGGACCAGACUCCUACGGGAGGCAGCAGUGAGGAAUAUUGGACAAUGGGCGCAAGCCUGAUCCAGCCAUGCCGCGUGCAGGAUGACGGUCCUAUGGAUUGUAAACUGCUUUUACACAGGAAGAAACAACGCUACGUGUAGCGUCUUGACGGUACUGUGAGAAUAAGGAUCGGCUAACUCCGUG